rnacentral:rRNA from 1 species
GUGGGGGAUAUUCCGCAAUGGACGAAAGUCUGACGGAGCAACGCCGCGUGAGUGAUGAAGGUUUUCGGACUGUAAAGCUCUGUUGUUUAGGACGAAAGUGCCUGUUGCAAAUAGUUACAGGUAUUGACGGUACUGAACGAGGAAGCCACGGCUAACUACGUGCCAGCAGCCGCGGUAAUACGUAGGUGGCAAGCGUUGUCCGGAAUUAUUGGGCGUAAAGAGCAUGUAGGCGGGAAUCUAAGUCUGUUGUGAAAAUGCGGGGCUCAACCCCGUAUUGCGAUGGAAACUGGGUUUCUUGAGUGCAGGAGAGGAAAGGGGAAUUCCCAGUGUAGCGGUGAAAUGCGUAGAUAUUGGGAGGAACACCAGUGGCGAAGGCGCCUUUCUGGACUGUGUCUGACGCUGAGAUGCGAAAGCCAGGGUAGCGAACGGGAUUAGAAACCCGAGUAGUCC